rnacentral:sRNA from 1 species
UAUCAAAUGAGUCUGACAUUUUUGUAGC